GCCCAGAUAGCUCAGUCGGUAGAGCAGAGGAUUGAAAAUCCUCGUGUCGGCGGUUCGAUUCCNNGAUUCCGUCUCUGGGCACCA
rnacentral:tRNA from 1 species